UGGAUUUUUUUUAAUUACAGGAAUACCCUCCUUCAAUUUCUACUUCCUCUCAUCGGCGAGCCUUAGCCUCUCUCCUAAAAACACCUCUCAUCGACAAAGACGACGUUAAGGACUGCGCCGCUCCCGUCGCCGCCGCAACAACCGCCGCGCUUGUCAACAUCUCUCAUAUGACGUCGUUUUCCGCUUUACCUCGACACAGCUUCGCCUCGACCUCAGCGUUGUCAUCGGUACGCCUCUUUCUCGCCGAUCUCACCUUUGCUGCCUCGCCGCCGUGGCUUCCGUCUUCAGCGUCCGGGUUCUAAUCUUCGAGUGCAAGUCGUCUAAUCUGAUAGAAGAGUGUUUUUUCUAUUUCCAGUUUUUGUAUGUUGAACUCGAUUGCUGAAGCUCAUGGCCCCGUCAAGAAAGUCCAGAAGUGUUAAUAAGGGUUUUCUUCUGCUAAUGAGGUAUCCUCAAGCAAACACGUGGAAGAUGCCAGCAAAAGCAAGCAGAAGGCUAUCUUGAAGUAAAUUGGGCAUUGCUAUUCUAUCUAUUAUCAUUGUUUUUGACCCGUUAAAAGCUAGACACUCCAACUUGUAAUCAGCCGCUUUCUAUGGUUUGGAGGGAAAUCCAGCUGUGGGUUUGUGAAGGUAAGAGAUAUGUGAAUUUGUUGAAAUCCAACCACCUUUCUUAUGGGCGUAUAUCAUCUCUCAUUCAUAAACCCACCUUCAAACCCACCAUUAAUCUUUCAAUUUUGGAGUUUCAUUUGAACCGAUGUCAACAUAUCAAUCAAUUCAACCAAAUACUCUCUCAGAUGCUUCUAACUGGCUUCAUAAGAGAAACUUAUGCUGCAAGCAGAUUAAUCAAAUUCUCAACACAUUUUCCCUUCAUUCACAUCGAUUACACCCGUCGAAUUUUCAACUUCAUUGAGAACACCAAUUGCUUUAUGUGGAAUAUGAUGAUUAGAGCUUACAUUCAAACAAACUCCCCUCAUUUUGCUUUCACUCUUUACAAAUCCAUGCUUUCUAACUAUUUGGGUGCUGAUAAUUACACCUACCCACUUCUGAUUCAGGCUUGUUCCAUCCGUCGGUCGGAAUGGGAAGCAAAGCAGGUGCAUAAUCAUGUUUUGAAAUUGGGUUUUGAUUCAGAUGUUUAUGUUCGAAAUACUUUGAUUAAUUGUUUUUCUGUUUGCUCCAAUAUGACUGAUGCUUGCCGGGUGUUUAAUGAAAGUUCUGUUUUGGAUUCUGUGUCAUGGAAUUCAAUUUUGGCUGGGUAUAUUGAAAUAGGUAAUGUAGAGGAGGCAAAGCAUAUAUAUCAUCAAAUGCCAGAGAGGAGCAUAAUUGCUUCAAAUUCUAUGAUUGUUUUGUUUGGCAUGAGAGGACUAGUGGUUGAAGCCUGUAAGUUGUUUGAUGAAAUGCUAGAGAAAGAUAUGGUUACAUGGAGUGCAUUAAUUGCUUGCUUUCAGCAGAACGAGAUGUAUGAGGAGGCUAUAAGAACAUUUGUAGGAAUGCAUAAAAUUGGAGUAAUGGUGGAUGAAGUUGUAGCGGUGAGUGCUCUUUCUGCUUGUGCAAACUUACUGGUUGUUAAUAUGGGGAAAUUGAUUCACAGCUUAUCUUUGAAAAUUGGAACUGAAUCUUACAUAAACCUUCAGAAUGCUUUGAUUUAUAUGUACUCGAAAUGUGGGGAUAUAAUGGUGGCACGUAAAUUGUUUGAUGAAGCCUAUUUGUUAGACUUGAUAUCUUGGAACUCUAUGAUAUCAGGAUAUUUGAAAUGCAAUUUAGUUGAUAAUGCCAAAGCCAUUUUUGAUUCCAUGCCUGAGAAGGAUGUUGUGUCUUGGAGUUCUAUGAUAUCAGGUUAUGCACAAAAUGACCUUUUUGAUGAGACUCUGGCGCUUUUCCAGGAAAUGCAAAUGAGUGGCUUCAAACCAGACGAGACCACAUUAGUGAGUGUGAUAUCUGCAUGCGCUCGCUUGGCUGCCCUUGAGCAAGGGAAGUGGGUCCAUGCGUAUAUAAAAAGGAACGGUCUGACCAUUAAUGUUAUUCUAGGUACUACCCUCAUAGACAUGUAUAUGAAGUGUGGAUGUGUUGAAACUGCCUUGGAGGUUUUUUAUGGGAUGAUUGAGAAAGGGAUUUCGACUUGGAAUGCUCUAAUUCUUGGGUUGGCAAUGAAUGGGUUAGUGGAAAGCUCGCUUGAUAUGUUUUCUAAUAUGAAAAAGUGUCAUGUAACACCUAAUGAAAUAACAUUCAUGGGAGUACUUGGUGCUUGUCGUCACAUGGGUUUAGUAGAUGAAGGGCAGCAUCAUUUUUAUUCAAUGAUUCACGAUCAUAAGAUACAGCCAAAUGUUAAGCACUAUGGGUGCAUGGUUGAUCUUCUAGGACGUGCAGGUAAGCUUCAAGAAGCAGAGGAACUUCUCAACCGUAUGCCUAUGACACCAGAUGUUGCUACUUGGGGUGCCUUACUUGGGGCUUGUAAGAAACACGGUGAUAGUGAAAUGGGAAGAAGGGUUGGGAGGAAGCUGAUUGAGCUUCAGCCUGACCAUGAUGGUUUCCACGUGUUGUUAUCGAACAUAUAUGCUUCAAAAGGAAAAUGGGAUGAUGUUCUUGAGAUUAGGGGCAUGAUGACAAAACAUAGGGUUUUGAAGAUUCCUGGUUGUAGCAUGAUUGAAGCAAAUGGAGUUAUUCAUGAAUUUCUAGCUGGUGAUAAAACACACCCCGACAUGGAUGCAAUUGAGGAUAUGUUGGUUGAAAUGGCUAUGAAAUUGAAGUUAGAAGGUUAUACACCAGACAUAAAUGAGGUUUUGCUUGAUGUUGAUGAAGAAGAGAAGGAAAGUACUCUGUUUAGACAUAGUGAGAAGCUAGCCAUUGCAUUUGGUCUUAUUAAUAUUAGUCCACCAACACCUAUCCGGAUAAUGAAAAACUUGAGGAUAUGUAAUGACUGUCACACUGCUGCAAAAUUAAUCUCCAAGGCUUUUUGUCGGAAAAUUGUGGUGAGAGACCGACAUCGGUUUCAUCACUUUGAGCAGGGGUUUUGUUCAUGUAAGGAUUACUGGUAGUGGAUAAGGAUUCAUAAUACUUGACAACUUGAUUUUUAGGGCUUGUAAACUUGAUUUUUAGAGCUUAUUUUGGCACCAUUUCGCUUGAUCAUCUUCACUAGGACUGGCAACUAAGUUGCCUCGAGGUCUCGCAAGCAGCAACUCACAAAGCUAGUUUCUCUUCAUUCGGGAUGUUGCCGCAAAAUGGCUUGGUGAACAUUUUUCCAGUGAUGGUGAUGAGUUUGCUACACUUGCGAGUUCCUAUUUAGAGGUCAGGCAAUUACGGUGUGCCUUAAACUCUACCAUGGAUGGGCGUGGGUCAAAAGCUGCAGCUUAAUUGUUGACAUAAUUGGCAAGAAUCAGUUGAUACUGGUUGCCUCUAGAUUUAAAUAUGAUGAAUCUCUUCUUCCUGGAAUUCAAAUCUGCCUUCAGGGCCACAAGAGCAACUUUGGUUGGGUUUUUCCGAUCUUUGUAUCUUGGAAUAUAUAUUUUCUGAAUCAGGUCAAAUACAACUGAUCAACACGUUAACCGAAAGAAACAUAUGCUUUGAAGAGGAUGGAUCUCGACAAUGUAUUCAUCGUAUGCUCAAGAACAUAGUCGUGAGAACUAUGUGUUUAUUAGAAUUAAAAUCCUACCUAUGCUUUAGAUAAUAGAGCACUAUAACCUUUUUUGUGCAAGAGCAAUUAUUUAUAAGAAUGGUGCAGUGACACUUCUAUUUUAAGAGUGAUUUAUAUUUAGCCAUAGUAUUCUUUUGACUAUUUGUUUUCAUUGAAAGGGAUGAAAGUUAUUCACCAACUUUUCAAUAUUUUUUCAACAAUUCGAGCACACGUCGCUCAAAAAUUUGCAAUUAUAAGUUAAUUCAA